GGCGCUCGGGGCUGCGCCAGGUGUCCCGCCACGCCCCGCGAGGUGGCCCGCUUUGUUCUCCACCCUGCGCUCCUCUGGCUCGUCUGCGCGACUCGGGCCUCUCUGUCUGGCCUCCAGGGCGCCCCGCCAUCCUGCGGGAAUGUCCCCGCUGUGUAGACAUGGCUUUCGGGACAAUAUCACCCCUGUCAAGUGGUACUAAAUUCAUCAUAUGAAAUGAUGUCUUCAUACAAAAUGAGUUUUACGUUGCUAAUUUACCUGCAGAUGCUCACACAAUAUAUGGCACACCAGUAGUUAGCAGGACCCUACUCAAGUUGGCGCAUGAAGCAUUUUGUCCUGACCAAACACUGAUCUGCUUUCUGCCAGUUUUUGCCUUUUCUAUAAUUUCAUAUAAAAAAUGGGAUUA